GGGAAGUGGAGGCUCCUUUUCAAGGACUUUGGCAUUAAAGAGCAGAGAGAAAGGAGGUGAAAUUUAGAGGGGCUUAGUCAAGUGAGCCUUGCCUGAGGAGAAAGAGUCCCAGAUGGAUGCCCGCAGCAGUGGUGAAAGGGGAGGAGGAGUGAUGUAUCUGGUAAACUGGGGGAAAGGAACCGGGUACACCCGGGCCAGCAGAGCAGCCUCCCUCUUCUCCGUCAACCUUUUAGCUGGAUCCGGAUACAGGCUACAUCCCAGUCUGCUCAUACAUUAGAGAGGAUUAAAAGCUCAAAGACGUGUUCAAGGAGAGAUGUGAGCCCCAAAGAGGGGCAUCUAAUCCAGCCUAGGGCCAUCAAAAGAGGCCACCUGGAGGAGUCACCUUCUGAGCUAAGUCCUCAAGAAUAAAGAGAUGUUACCAAAGGACUGAGGUGAGUUGUGUCUCUCUCCCGUGACAUCAAUCAGCGGUUCACUUCUCACCUGUCUCUGGGGCAGCAACGUGCCCUGCUGUGGUAGAAGAAGCCUUGGGCGCUGGCAUGGUUCUGCUGUUGCCACUGACAGUGAUGGGGAAGCUGAAGACGCAGACAAAUUGAAGAUUUGCCUAAGGUGACACACCUCCUAAGAGGUAAAACUCAGGACAUCAAGCUUAGAACCUAAGUGUUUAACAACCAUGCCAGUGCCUCUGGAAGGUGAAAUCCACCAAGAAAUGACUGCCUUGCAGUGGUGACAAGAUGGUGGCUGUUUCCACUUUAAUAGGUUCCGUCACUUUGUGCACAAAGAAACACGUUCUCCUUGGAACUGGACAGCCCCCUCCACCGUGGGGAGCCUCCACAGCUGCCUUUCAUCCUGUUGCUACUCAGAGUGUGGUCCAUGGACCAUCAGUGAAUGCACUACCUGGGAGUUUAUUAAAAUGCAGACUCUUGGGCCCCGCCCCAGACCUUCUAAAGCAGAAUCUGCACUGUCCCCAAAUCCCCAGAUGAUGUGAAUACAUAUUAAAGUUUGAGAA